AUUAACACCAAGAUUAACACUUGACCAACAACCAAGCUGUAAAGAAUAUGCCAAUCAAGAAACUACCAACUUAGGCAACAAACAAGCAGUAAACCAUAGCCUAAUCACCAAGAUCAUUCCCACCAACACCGAUAGGGUAAUCCACUUUUAUGUAAACAGAGAGCAACCCCACACCCUUCCAGCACUAAUGAUAUUACCUAGUCAGGUAAUGAAAUGUCUGCAAGAGAACAACCAAGCUCAGAGAGCAUCAAGGUCUCCACAGACACUGGGUUGAAGACUGUUUCAGGGGUCUUUCUGUGCCUUUUAGUUACCUGGCUAGACACAAGAAAGAUCUUAUGCAGGUAAGGUUUGAAAGAUUGAAGAAGCGAAUGUGAAAUACGUAUGCUAUAUAGUAUUAUUCUCACAUAUAC
ensembl:lncRNA